GAUGAACGCUGGCGGCGUGCCUAAUACAUGCAAGUCGAGCGAACAGACGAGGAGCUUGCUCCUCUGACGUUAGCGGCGGACGGGUGAGUAACACGUGGAUAACCUACCUAUAAGACUGGGAUAACUUCGGGAAACCGGAUCUAAUACCGGAUAAUAUAUUGAACCGCAUGGUUCAAUAGUGAAAGACGGUUUUGCUGUCACUUAUAGAUGGAUCCGCGCCGCAUUAGCUAGUUGGUAAGGUAACGGCUUACCAAGGCAACGAUGCGUAGCCGACCUGAGAGGGUGAUCAGCCACACUGGAACUGAGACACGGUCCAGACUCCUACGGGAGGCAGCAGUAGGGAAUCUUGCGCAAUGGGCGAAAGCCUGACCGAGCAACGCCGCGUGAGUGAAGAAGGUCUUCGGAUCGUAAAACUCUUUUAGUAGGGAAGAACAAAUGUGUAAGUAACUAUGCACGUCUUGACGGUACCUAAUCAGAAAGCCACGGCUAACUACGUG
rnacentral:rRNA from 1 species